UACGUAGGGGGCAAGCGUUAUCCGGAUUUACUGGGUGUAAAGGGAGCGUAGACGGUGUGGCAAGUCUGAUGUGAAAGGCAUGGGCUCAACCUGUGGACUGCAUUGGAAACUGUCAUACUUGAGUGCCGGAGGGGUAAGCGGAAUUCCUAGUGUAGCGGUGAAAUGCGUAGAUAUUAGGAGGAACACCAGUGGCGAAGGCGGCUUACUGGACGGUAACUGACGUUGAGGCUCGAAAGCGUGGGGAG
rnacentral:rRNA from 1 species